CUAACCCAAGAGAAUCAGUAAGCAAUGGAUAACCAUUGCAUAGUAAGGAAAAAACCCUUAUUGCUGUGCUGCCACUGUGUGAAAUCAGAAAGUGUCCUGCACCCCUGACAGCACACUCUUAGCCCUGUUUUGAGAACAACACCUCACUCCUAAGCACUGCAUGUAAUUCUCCCUGUCAAAGGUGCAGACUGGUUGAAAGAGUCAGCUUGAGCUCACUGCUUUGAUGCACCAAUGUAAAUUUAGUUAACCAAAGAAACAGCUUUGAGCCGAAGAAGGGCCACUGGGAAAUCAUCCAGAGUGAGAAGCUCAUACACACAGAAAAAGUGUCCUGUUUAACACAGCAUGCCCUGCUUUCCCAGCCCACCCCAAGAAAGAAAGAGCAGGAAGGCAACAAUUAGAACUUCCAAAUUAGGUUCCAGUGCUCUGGUAGAAAACCACAGUCAUUGAGAGCUGUUUUGUUUAAAAAUCAGUCUCAGCAUUAUGGGCCUUAUGCAAAAAUAGCCUAAGAGCAAGCACAGAGUGAUGAUUACCUGGGGACAGAAGCAUUUAGAAUAGUCAAUAGUCAUACACCACACCCACAUACUCUGGCAGCAAUAGGCCCCAAGUGAUUGAUGGCUUAGAGAGACAUUUAAUACUCCCCUCCCCUCAAUUUCUGGAAAUGGCAUUUCAUUUAAUCCCCCAAAGCCAAAGCACCCGUGCUGUGUGCUGCCAGUGGGAAUAAUCAGCAGUGCCUUGGGGUUUGCAAUUCAAAUGAGUAUGUGUGUAACAGACCCCAAAGAAGCACUUACACUCAUCCCUGCCAGAUCUCAGGACUCAGAGUGGUUCAAAUCACCAGAGAAAAUUCCAAUAUUUUUGACAGCCUUCCAGUAAGUUCCAGCAUGUCCCAUAUCAUAGAUAUUGCUCAGCAACACCCAUCGUAAUUGCAAUUCUGGUGGGCCUCACUACCUGUGGUUUUCAGUGCAGGAAGAUGCACUCUCCUGGUUUGCUUUCCUUGUUACCUGCUGCAGGGUUUUGUGCCUCCAGGAUGCACAGCAGCACUGCAAUUUGCACAUCACACCAUAAAAACCCCUGGGCAGAGAGCAGGACAACAGCUGAAGGGUGGAUCUGGAAUACUUCCAUUGUGGCUGCAGCUCUUGCUUUCCUCCUUCUGUUUCCCAAGGAAGUGGAUGGAAGAUUUUAACUCUCUAGAUUUGAUUUUCAGAGAUGGUUAUUUGUGGUAGAUGCUAGCAGGCCUAUUUUAAUAUUGUUCAUAAAAGCAGAGACGAAUCUUUCAUGAAAAUAUUAGAAGGAAAGUACUAAAAGGGAAGAGACUAAUGCUAAUUAAUACUAAAGCUUUUUUACUUGCAAACAAAAGUUGAAGAAGACGUCUCAUUUAUGCACAGGAUUUCAUUUCAGCACAGACCAGGAGAUCAUCAAGUUUGCCCUUUUCUAUAGCCAACCCCAGGUCAUCACCCAACUCUGCCUGUGCUAAAAUAAAUAACUUGCCAGAAGGAAGAUAUACAGUUGUAAUAAUUUACAGGCAUCAAGAGCUGAAGGAGCUUGGAGGAUGCUUUCCUACAACACUCAUGCAGAAGAUGUGUGUUCAGCACCCAACUUGAAUUUGCACAGCUUUGAUGUUAGUCUUGCCUACUAAUUUGAAGUAUCAUACUGUCUCUGCAUUUUCUCCCUAUAAUACAUAUCCAAUGCAAUGACCAAAUUUUAACAGUCAGAAAAAGAGCUGACUCACUCAGCUCUUGGUAUUUCUUCAUGAAACACCCAAGACAUCACCAAAUCAGAACCCAAAUGUUGAUGCGCUCCGUGUGAUCUGAGAUGAGAGGCUAAGAUGGAAGUUCCUGGAAGCUAUCCAGAUUUUAAACACAGGUCUUGUUAAAGCAGGGGAGGUAUGUCUUUUCUCUCCCUAAUCUAACUUGGAGGAUUGACAGAUUCCCCCAAUCAAUAUUAAUAGUCACAGAGUAGCUUGUCUUCCUUCAAAGAUACUUUUGAAACAGAUUUAAAAAAAAACAACCAUCCGAAGGUCCAUCUGUGACUUACGUUUUUAAUUAAAAAGUGAUCAUGUUUUAGGCAUGAUCAUCCUUCUACCCUACUGUGGCCAAAGGCUGGCAAAAUCCUGAUGCACCCCACAACAACAAAGCAGCAGAAGUGACCAGGGUUUGCACAGCUCCUGCGUAAUUCUGCAUUUCCAGCCACAACCUCCCACUUGCUGUGUGGCUUUUCAUUCCAUGGUUCCCAGACACAUCUCCAUAAGCCCCCCAGGGUAUUCUGAACAGGGUCUCUCCAGAAGAAGAGGUGGGGGGUGUCCUUGGAGUGUAGUGACCUGUGGCCAUUUAAACCAUGUGGAUCCAAGCCUGUCUCACUGCUGACAAACAGUGCCUGGCAGAUUCUCACGGGCAUCCCUUUUCAGCCUCCUCACACGUGUGAAACAGCACCAGCACCUUUGCCCUAGCAGGGCUUCACCAGUUUUGACAGGUGCCAAACAACCAGAUCCUUCUCCCAGGGAAUGCUCCCCCAGCACCAAUUCCCUUUUAGCAGAAUUUGGACGUGCUGGGACACACAAACAACAGGGACACACAGGGUCACUCUUCUGCAGGCCCAGAUUCUGCUGUGUUUGUAUCAUCUCUGGUGGCACUGGCCACGUGAAGAGAGGACAAGUCCCACAAGACAGAGGCUGACUACUCUCUCCACACAGGACCAGAAGGUGCUUGGACAAUGAACAGGAAAGGUGCAGAUUUUUAUAGGGAAUUCUCCUCCCAGUUCUGGUUCCUUAACAAGCCAGUUUGCCAAUUAGUGGAAUUUCUUCCAGCAUGUUUGUACUCUUGGACUUUUUCCUUUCUACUUUUCCCCAGUGCAAUACUCACAAAUUCUCUCUAUGUUUCACAAGACAUUUGCUGCUAAUCUCUCCUUUCAGCUUGCCUUGAUGCUUAUUUGGGUCAACUGCAAGCUGAGGCACCAAACUUCUGAGUCAAUCAGGACUGUUCCUUUGACCAGCAAUCUUACCAGUAUUUGUAGGAAAUCCAAUAACUCUGGGAACACUGCUCAUUCAGUAGAUUGAUCAAGUUUGUCAGCCAGGGUCAGGAAUUACUGGGAGUGGAAGGAAAAUCACACAGAGGUAAUGAUCAUGCAAGCCUUAAUCCAAUAGGGAAGCGCAGUACUGCUAAAGCUGGGGAGCUCUGCUAAUUAACAUUAUCCCAUUAAACCUCCAAGUCCCUCUGCACCACUGCAGAAAAUACAAGGCUUGCUUCUAGCACUGCGCUGGCAGGGCUACCCUGGGUGCUGAUUCGGCAGUCCUGCUGCAGAGGGCAGCUCCAGCAGGCUCAGAGCAUUU
ensembl:lncRNA